UGGGGAAUAUUGGACAAUGGGCGGAAGCCUGAUCCAGCAACGCCGCGUGAGGGAUGACGGCCUUCGGGUUGUAAACCUCUUUCAGCACAGACGAAGCGCAAGUGACGGUAUGUGCAGAAGAAGGACCGGCCAACUACGUGCCAGCAGCCGCGGUAAUACGUAGGGUCCGAGCGUUGUCCGGAAUUAUUGGGCGUAAAGGGCUCGUAGGCGGUUUGUCGCGUCGGGAGUGAAAACACCGGGCUUAACUCGGUGCUUGCUUUCGAUACGGGCAGACUAGAGGCAUUCAGGGGAGAACGGAAUUCCUGGUGUAGCGGUGAAAUGCGCAGAUAUCAGGAGGAACACCGGUGGCGAAGGCGGUUCUCUGGGAAUGUCCUGACGCUGAGGAGCGAAAGUGUGGGGAGCGAACAGGAUUAGAUACCCUGGUAGUCCACACCGUAAAACGUUGGGCGCUAGGUGUGGGAUCCAUUCCACGGGUUCCGUGCCGCAGCUAACGCAUUAAGCGCCCCGCCUGGGGAGUACGGCCGCAAGGCUAAAACUCAAAUGAAUUGACGGGGUCAU
rnacentral:rRNA from 1 species